rnacentral:rRNA from 1 species
GAUGAACGCUAGCGGCAGGCCUAACACAUGCAAGUCGAGGGGUAGAACACUUCGGUGUUUGAGACCGGCGCACGGGUGCGUAACGCGUAUGCAAUCUACCUUGUACAGGGGAAUAGCCCAGAGAAAUUUGGAUUAAUGCCCCAUAGUAUAUAACCUUCGCAUGUUGGUUAUAUUAAAGUUCCAACGGUACAAGAUGAGCAUGCGUCCCAUUAGUUAGUUGGUAAGGUAACGGCUUACCAAGACGAUGAUGGGUAGGGGUCCUGAGAGGGAGAUCCCCCACACUGGUACUGAGACACGGACCAGACUCCUACGGGAGGCAGCAGUGAGGAAUAUUGGUCAAUGGGCGCAAGCCUGAACCAGCCAUGCCGCGUGCAGGAAGACGGUCCUAUGGAUUGUAAACUGCUUUUAUACAGGAAGAAACAACUCUACGUGUAGAGUCUUGACGGUACUGUAGGAAUAAGGAUCGGCUAACUCCGUGCCAGCCGCCGCCGUAACAC